rnacentral:rRNA from 1 species
UACGGGGGGGGGCAAGCGUUGUUCGGAAUUACUGGGCGUAAAGGGCUCGUAGGUGGCCAACUAAGUCAGACGUGAAAUCCCUCGGCUUAACCGGGGAACUGCGUCUGAUACUGGAUGGCUUGAGUUUGGGAGAGGGAUGCGGAAUUCCAGGUGUAGCGGUGAAAUGCGUAGAUAUCUGGAGGAACACCGGUGGCGAAGGCGGCAUCCUGGACCAACACUGACGCUGAUGAGCGAAAGCCAGGGGAGCAAACGGG